rnacentral:rRNA from 1 species
UACGUAGGGGGCAAGCGUUGUCCGGAAUCAUUGGGCGUAAAGCGCGUGUAGGCGGCCCGGUAAGUCCGCUGUGAAAGCCCAGGGCUCAACCCUGGGAUGCCGGUGGAUACUGUCGGGCUAGAGUGCGGAAGAGGCGAGUGGAAUUCCUGGUGUAGCGGUGAAAUGCGCAGAUAUCAGGAGGAACACCAAUUGCGAAGGCAGCUCGCUGGGACGUGACUGACGCUGAGACGCGAAAGCGUGGGGAGCAAACAGG